rnacentral:rRNA from 1 species
UCGAGGGGCAGCGGGGGAGUAGCAAUACUCCCGCCGGCGACCGGCGCACGGGUGAGUAACACGUAUGAAACCUGCCCGUAGCAGGGGGAUAAGCGGAAGAAAUUCCGUCUAAUACCGCGUAACAACCCAUGGAGGCAUCUCUGUGGGUUUAAAGGAAGCGAUUCCGGCUACGGAUGGUCAUGCGUCGCAUUAGCUUGUUGGCGGGGUAACGGCCCACCAAGGCGACGAUGCGUAGGGGUUCUGAGAGGAAGGUCCCCCACACUGGUACUGAGACACGGACCAGACUCCUACGGGAGGCAGCAGUGAGGAAUAUUGGUCAAUGGCCGCAGGGCUGAACCAGCCAAGUCGCGUGAGGGAUGACGGUCCUAUGGAUUGUAAACCUCUUUUGUCAGGGAGCAAAGGGCGCCACGUGUGGCGCUUUGCGAGUACCUGAAGAAAAAGCAUCGGCUAACUCCGUGCCAGCAGCCGCGGUAAUACGGAGGAUGCGAGCGUUAUCCGGAUUUAUUGGGUUUAAAGGGUGCGCAGGCGGAAUGUCAAGUCAGCGGUAAAAUUUCGGGGCUCAACCCCGUCGUGCCGUUGAAACUGGCGUUCUUGAGUGAGCGAGAAGUAUGCGGAAUGCGUGGUGUAGCGGUGAAAUGCAUAGAUAUCACGCAGAACUCCGAUUGCGAAGGCAGCAUACCGGCGCUCAACUGACGCUCAUGCACGAAAGCGUGGGUAUCGAACAGGAUUAGAUACCCUGGUAGUCCACGCAGUAAACGAUGAAUACUAACUGUCCGGGCAGAAUGAUGCCUGGGUGGUACAGCGAAAGCGUUAAGUAUUCCACCUGGGGAGUACGCCGGCAACGGUGAAACUCAAAGGAAUUGACGGGGGCCCGCACAAGCGGAGGAACAUGUGGUUUAA